AGCGAACGCUGGCGGCAGGCCUAACACAUGCAAGUCGAACGGACCCUUCGGGGUUAGUGGCGGACGGGUGAGUAACACGUGGGAACGUGCCUUUAGGUUCGGAAUAGCUCCUGGAAACGGGUGGUAAUGCCGAAUGUGCCCUUCGGGGGAAAGAUUUAUCGCCUUUAGAGCGGCCCGCGUCUGAUUAGCUAGUUGGUGAGGUAACGGCUCACCAAGGCGACGAUCAGUAGCUGGUCUAAGAGGAUGACCAGCCACACUGGGACUGAGACACGGCCCAGACUCCUACGGGAGGCAGCAGUGGGGAAUCUUGCGCAAUGGGCGAAAGCCUGACGCAGCCAUGCCGCGUGAAUGAUGAAGGUCUUAGGAUUGUAAAAUUCUUUCACCGGGGACGAUAAUGACGGUACCCGGAGAAGAAGCCCCGGCUAACUUCGUG
rnacentral:rRNA from 1 species